rnacentral:rRNA from 1 species
UGCCUAAUACAUGCAAGUAGAACGCUGAAGAGAGGAGCUUGCUCUUCUUGGAUGAGUUGCGAACGGGUGAGUAACGCGUAGGUAACCUGCCUUGUAGCGGGGGAUAACUAUUGGAAACGAUAGCUAAUACCGCAUAACAAUGGAUGACACAUGUCAUUUAUUUGAAGGGGGCAAAUGCUCCACUACAAGAUGGACCUGCGUUGUAUUAGCUAGUAGGUGAGGUAACGGCUCACCUAGGCGACGAUACAUAGCCGACCUGAGAGGGUGAUCGGCCACACUGGGACUGAGACACGGCCCAGACUCCUACGGGAGGCAGCAGUAGGGAAUCUUCGGCAAUGGGGGCAACCCUGACCGAGCAACGCCGCGUGAGUGAAGAAGGUUUUCGGAUCGUAAAGCUCUGUUGUAAGUCAAGAACGAGUGUGAGAGAGGAAAGUUCACACUGUGACGGUAGCUUACCAGAAAGGGACGGCUAACUACGUGCCAGCAGCCGCGGUAAUACGUAGGUCCCGAGCGUUGUCCGGAUUUAUCGGGCGUAAAGCGAGCGCAGGCGGUUUGAUAAGUCUGAAGUUAAAGGCUGUGGCUCAACCAUAGUUCGCUUUGGAAACUGUCAAACUUGAGUGCAGAAGGGGAGAGUGGAAUUCCAUGUGUAGCGGUGAAAUGCGUAGAUAUAUGGGGGAACACCGGUGGCGAAAGCGGCUCUCUGGUCUGUAACUGACGCUGAGGCUCGAAAGCGUGGGGAGCGAACAGGAUUAGAUACCCUGGUAGUCCACGCCGUAAACGAUGAGUGCUAGGUGUUGGAUCCUUUCCGGGAUUCAGUGCCGCAGCUAACGCAUUAAGCACUCCGCCUGGGGAGUACGACCGCAAGGUUGAAACUCAAAGGAAUUGACGGGGGCCCGCACAAGCGGUGGAGCAUGUGGUUUAAUUCGAAGCAACGCGAAGAACCUUACCAGGUCUUGACAUCCCGAUGCUAUUUCUAGAGAUAGAAAGUUACUUCGGUACAUCGGUGACAGGUGGUGCAUGGUUGUCGUCAGCUCGUGUCGUGAGAUGUUGGGUUAAGUCCCGCAACGAGCGCAACCCCUAUUGUUAGUUGCCAUCAUUCAGUUGGGCACUCUAGCGAGACUGCCGGUAAUAAACCGGAGGAAGGUGGGGAUGACGUCAAAUCAUCAUGCCCCUUAUGACCUGGGCUACACACGUGCUACAAUGGUUGGUACAACGAGUUGCGAGUCGGUGACGGCAAGCUAAUCUCUUAAAGCCAAUCUCAGUUCGGAUUGUAGGCUGCAACUCGCCUACGUGAAGUCGGAAUCGCUAGUAAUCGCGGAUCAGCACGCCGCGGUGAAUACGUUCCCGGGCCUUGUACACACCGCCCGUCACACCACGAGAGUUUGUAACACCCGAAGUCGGUGGGGUAACCUUUUGGAGCCAGCCGCCUAAGGUGGGAUAGAUGAUUGGGGUGAAGUCAUA